CUUACUACCGAAGCUACGGCAUCAGUAAUGAUGGGUAGGGGAGCUUCCCAUACGGGUUGAAGCAUGACCGUAAGGACAUGUGGACAGUAUGGGAGUGAGAAUGUUGGCAUGAGUAGCGAGAUGUGGGUGAGAAUCCCACAGGCCGUAAACCCAAGGUUUCCAGGGGAAGGUUCGUCCGCCCUGGGUUAGUCGGGACCUAAGCUGAGGCCGAAAGGCGUAGGUGAUGGACAACAGGUUGAUAUUCCUGUACUACCGAUAACCGUUUGAGAGAAGGGAUGACACAGUAGGAUAAGCUAAGCACACUGUUGGUUAUGUGUGCCCAAGCAUUGAGGCAGUCAAAGUAGGCAAAUCCGCUUUGAUAAUGCUGGGAUGUGAUGGGGAGCGAAAUUUAGUAGCGAAGUAGCUGAUUUCACACUGUCAAGAAAAGUCUCUAUCGAGGUUAAAGGUACCCGUACCGCAAACCGACACAGGUGGGUGAGGAGAGUAUCCUAAGGCCAGCGAGAGAACUGUUGUUAAGGAACUCGGCAAAAUGACCCCGUAACUUAGGGAUAAGGGGUGCCACCAUCAGGUGGCCGCAGAGAAUAGGCCCAAGCGACUGUUUACCAAAAACAUAGGUUUCUGCUAAGUCGCAAGACGAUGUAUAGGAGCUGACGCCUGCCCGGUGCUGGAAGGUUAAGGGGAUCUGUUA
rnacentral:rRNA from 1 species